rnacentral:rRNA from 1 species
AAAAACUCCGGUGGUAUGAGAUGGGCCCGCGUCUGAUUAGCUAGUUGGCGGGGUAACGGCCCACCAAGGCGACGAUCAGUAGCCGACCUGAGAGGGUGACCGGCCACAUUGGGACUGAGACACGGCCCAAACUCCUACGGGAGGCAGCAGUGGGGAAUAUUGCACAAUGGGGGAAACCCUGAUGCAGCGACGCCGCGUGAGCGAUGAAGUAUUUCGGUAUGUAAAGCUCUAUCAGCAGGGAAGAAGAUGACGGUACCUGACUAAGAAGCCCCGGCUAACUACGUGCCAGCAGCCGCGGUAAUACGUAGGGGGCAAGCGUUAUCCGGAUUUACUGGGUGUAAAGGGAGCGUAGACGGCGGUGCAAGCCAGAUGUGAAAGCCCGGGGCUCAACCCCGGGACUGCAUUUGGAACUGUAUGGCUGGAGUGUCGGAGAGGCAGGCGGAAUUCCUAGUGUAGCGGUGAAAUGCGUAGAUAUUAGGAGGAACACCAGUGGCGAAGGCGGCCUGCUGGACGAUGACUGACGUUGAGGCUCGAAAGCGUGGGGAGCAAACAGGAUUAGAUACCCUGGUAGUCCACGCCGUAAACGA